rnacentral:siRNA from 1 species
GGCUAGGUAACAUAAUGGAAAUG